rnacentral:rRNA from 1 species
UACGAAGGGGGCGGGCGUUGUUCGGAUUUACUGGGCGUAAAGGGCGCGCAGGCGGCCCUCCAAGUCAGGCGUGAAAGCCCCGGGCUCAACCCGGGAAUAGCGCUUGAGACUGGGGGGCUUGAGUUCGGGAGAGGAGAGUGGAAUUCCCAGUGUAGAGGUGAAAUUCGUAGAUAUUGGGAAGAACACCGGUGGCGAAGGCGGCUCUCUGGACCGACACUGACGCUGAGGCGCGAAAGCGUGGGGAGCAAACAGG